UAGGGAAUCUUCGGCAAUGGGGGCAACCCUGACCGAGCAACGCCGCGUGAGUGAAGAAGGUUUUCGGAUCGUAAAGCUCUGUUGUAAGAGAAGAACGUGUGUGAGAGUGGAAAGUUCACACAGUGACGGUAACUUACCAGAAAGGGACGGCUAACUACGUGCCAGCAGCCGCGGUAAUACGUAGGUCCCGAGCGUUGUCCGGAUUUAUUGGGCGUAAAGCGAGCGCAGGCGGUUUAAUAAGUCUGAAGUUAAAGGCAGUGGCUUAACCAUUGUUCGCUUUGGAAACUGUUAAACUUGAGUGCAGAAGGGGAGAGUGGAAUUCCAUGUGUAGCUGUGAAAUGCGUAGAUAUAUGGAGGAACACCGGUGGCGAAAGCGGCUCUCUGGUCUGUAACUGACGCUGAGGCUCGAAAGCGUGGGGAGCAAACAGG
rnacentral:rRNA from 1 species